UACAGAGGGUGCAAGCGUUGCUCGGAAUCAUUGGGCGUAAAGGGCAGGUAGGUGGUCUCAUUUGUCAGGGGUGAAAUCCUUGGGCUUAACUCAAGAAGUGCCUUUGAAACGGUGAGACUGGAGUACUGGAGAGGGUCGUGGAAUUCCCGGUGUAGCGGUGAAAUGCGUAGAGAUCGGGAGGAACACCAGAGGCGAAGGCGGCGACCUGGACAGUUACUGACACUCAACUGCGAAAGCGUGGGGAGCAAACAGG
rnacentral:rRNA from 1 species